rnacentral:rRNA from 1 species
UACGUAGGGGGCGAGCGUUGUCCGGAUUUAUUGGGCGUAAAGAGCUCGUAGGCGGUUUGGCAAGUCGGGUGUGAAAACUCCGGGCUCAACUCGGAGACGCCACUCGAUACUGCCAUGACUCGAGUCCGGUAGGGGAGUGCGGAAUUCCUGGUGUAGCGGUGAAAUGCGCAGAUAUCAGGAGGAACACCGGUGGCGAAGGCAGUCUUCUGGGCCAAAACUGACGCUGAGGAGCGAAAGCGUGGGGAGCGAACAGG